rnacentral:rRNA from 1 species
GAUUUCAAGCCCUCGUCGUUUGGCCCGCAGUCGGUUACGAUUUGUGUGUGCUGGACUUGACAGGGUUUUCCUUCUAGUUUGGUUUCUUUGAAUUUCGGUUCAUUGGGGCUAUUAUAAACUAGAUCUUUUACUUUGAAAAAAUUAGAGUGUUCAAAGCAGGCCUUUGCUAUGAAUACAUUAGCAUGGAAUAAUAAUCUAGGACUCGGCUUCUAUUUUAUUGGUUUCUAGGAUUUCGAGUAAUGAUUGAUAGGGAUAGUUGGGGGUGCUAGUAUUCAGAGACUAGAGGUGAAAUUCUUGGAUUCCCUGAAGACUAACUUAUGCGAAAGCAUU